rnacentral:rRNA from 1 species
AAAGAGGCAUUAUUUUCAUUCGAGGACGUGCCUUCCUCUUUGCCUUCUGCUGUCACUAACAUUUUGCAGGAGUUCGCUGACGUCUUUCCACAAGACGUGCCACCGGGAUUACCGCCUAUUCGAGGGAUUGAGCAUCAGAUUGACUUAAUUCCCGGUGCUUCACUGCCAAACCGUGCACCAUACCGUACCAAUCCAGAGGAGACAAAGGAGAUUAUGCGCCAAGUACAAGAGCUUCUCGACAAAGGUUAUAUACGCGAAUCCCUUAGUCCUUGUGCUAUUCCUAUUAUUCUAGUGCCGAAAAAGGAUGGUACAUCACGUAUGUGUGUUGAUUGUAGAGGCAUUAAUAAUAUUACUAUUCAUUAUCGUCAUCCUAUUCCUAGGCUAGAUGAUAUGCUUGAUGAAUUGAGUGGCUCUACAAUAUUCUCCAAAGUUGAUUUGCGUAGUGGCUACCAUCAAAUUCGUAUGAAAUUGGGAGAUGAAUGGAAAACAGCAUUUAAAACUAAGUUUGGAUUAUAUGAGUGGUUAGUCCUGCCUUUUGGGUUAACUAAUGCACCUAGUACUUUCAUGAGAUUAAUGAACGAAGUUUUACGUGCUUUCAUUGGACGAUUUGUGGUAGUUUACUUUGAUGACAUACUGAUUUAUAGCAGAUCUUUGGAAGAACAUUUGGAACAUUUACGUGCUGUUUUUAUUGCUCUACAUGAUGCACGUUUGUUUGGUAACCUUGGGAAGUGCACCUUUUGCACCGACCGAGUAUCUUUUCUUGGCUAUGUUGUUACUCCACAGGGAAUUGAAGUUGACAAAGCCAAGAUUGAAGCUAUUGAGAGUUGGCCGCAGCCCAAAACGGUCACACAAGUGAGGAGUUUUCUUGGCCUCGCUGGAUUCUAUAGGCGUUUUGUGAGAGAUUUCAGCACCAUUGCUGCACCUCUCAACGAGCUUACAAAGAAGGAUGUGCCUUUUGUUUGGGGUACCGCACAGAAAGAAGCCUUCACGGUAUUGAAAGAUAAGUUGACACAUGCUCCUUUACUCCAACUUCCUGAUUUUAAUAAGACUUUUGAGCUUGAAUGUGAUGCUAGUGGAAUUGGAUUAGGAGGUGUGUUAUUACAAGAUGGCAAACCUGUUGCAUACUUUUCUGAAAAAUUGAGUGGGCCUAGUCUGAAUUAUUCUACUUAUGAUAAAGAAUUAUAUGCUCUUGUUCGGACUUUAGAAACAUGGCAACAUUAUUUAUGGCCCAAAGAAUUUGUUAUACAUUCUGAUCAUGAAUCUUUGAAACAUAUUAAAAGUCAAGCUAAACUGAAUCAUAGACAUGCUAAAUGGGUUGAAUUCAUUGAGACUUUCCCUUAUGUCAUUAAACACAAGAAGGGAAAAGAAAAUGUUAUUGCUGAUGCAUUGUCUCGCCCCUAUACUAUGCUUUCACAACUUGACUUCAAAAUAUUUGGUUUGGAGACCAUCAAAGAUCAAUAUGUGCAUGAUGCUGAUUUUAAAGAUGUAAUGCAGAAUUGUAAAGAAGGAAGAAUGUGGAACAAGUUUGUCGUUAACGAUGGAUUUGUGUUUCGUGCUAACAAGCUAUGCAUUCCAGCUAGCUCCGUUCGUCUUUUGUUGUUGCAGGAGGCGCAUGGAGGAGGAUUAAUGGGACACUUUGGCGUGAAGAAGACGGAGGACGUACUUGCUACACAUUUCUUUUGGCCAAAGAUGAGACGGGAUGUUGAGCGUUUUAUUGCUCGAUGCACUACAUGUCAAAAAGCUAAGUCACGACUCAAUCCUCAUGGUUUAUAUAUGCCUUUGCCUGUACCUAGUGUUCCUUGGGAGGAUAUAUCUAUGGACUUUGUUUUAGGUUUACCUCGAACAAAGAAGGGGAGGGAUAGCAUAUUUGUUGUCGUGGAUAGAUUCUCGAAAAUGGCACACUUUAUACCAUGUCAUAAAAGCGAUGAUGCUGUUAAUCUUGCUGAUUUGUUCUUUCGUGAAAUUAUUCGCUUGCAUGGUGUGCCAAAUACUAUUGUUUCAGAUCGUGAUACUAAAUUUCUUAGCCACUUUUGGAGAUGUUUAUGGGCUAAGUUGGGGACUAAACUGCUUUUUAGUACUACUUGUCACCCCCAAACUGAUGGACAAACUGAAGUAGUCAAUAGAACGUUGUCUACUAUGCUUAGGGCUGUUUUGAAGAAUAAUAAGAAAAUGUGGGAGGAAUGCUUGCCUCAUAUUGAAUUUGCUUAUAAUCAUUCAAUGCAUUCUACUACUAAGAUGUGCCCUUUUGAAGUUGUGUAUGGUUUCCUACCUCGUGCACCUAUUGAUUUGUUGCCUCUUCCAUCUUCGGAGAAGGUUAAUUUUGAUGCUAAACAACGUGCUGAAUUGAUUUUAAAAAUGCAUGAGUUAACUAAGGAAAACAUUGAGCGCAUGAAUGCUAAAUAUAAACUUGCUGGAGAUAAGGGUAGAAAACAUGUUGUGUUUGCACCUGGAGAUCUUGUUUGGUUACAUUUGCGUAAGGAUAGAUUUCCUGAUUUGCGCAAAUCAAAGUUAAUGCCACGUGCUGAUGGUCCCUUUAAGGUGUUAGAGAAAAUAAAUGAUAAUGCAUAUAAACUUGAGCUGCCUGCAGAUUUUGGGGUUAGUCCCACUUUUAACAUUGCAGAUUUGAAGCCUUAUUUGGGUGAGGAAGAU